GCAGUCCGUGCCGCUUUGGGUAUCAACUGAAGCGGCGAUAACGGACAAACACUUAGCAAGAGGUCGCUAGCGCAGGGAAGUAAUAUUUUCCUUGACCAAAUGCGUUUUGGGCUCAGUAAAGUAAUGAGGUAAAUAUUAAGAAAGUUAAAAACAGUAACCACGUUCGGAACAAACUGGCACUGCCACGGUGAAAAUGGACCAGGAUUUUGAAGACAAAGACUCCGAGGGCCGGUGGCAAAAACUGUAUCUAGAAAUCAAAAAUCUUUCCCACGAGUGCUCCUACAAGGUGGCAAAGUAUCCAGAGAACCGCAACCGAAACAGAUACAGAGACGUCAGCCCGUUUGAUCACAGCCGUGUUAAGUUGAAGAACACGGACAACGACUACAUCAAUGCGAGUCUCGUAGUCAUGGAAGAAGCCCAAAGAAGUUACAUAUUGACUCAGGGCCCACUCAGAAAUACCUGUGGCCACUUUUGGCUCAUGAUCUGGGAGCAGAAGACCAAGGCAGUUAUAAUGCUCAACAGGGUCAUAGAAAAAGGCUCGGAAAAGUGUGCCCAGUACUGGCCCACGGCUGAGGAGAGGGAGAUGUCCUUCAGAGACACGCGCUUCUUAGUCACACUGUUGUCAGAAGACACAAAGUCUUACUAUACCACCAGAGUGUUGGAGCUGCAGAAUGUUAAUACUGGGGAGAAGAGAGAGAUCCACCACUUUCAUUAUACGACGUGGCCUGACUUCGGGGUCCCAGAGUCACCAGCGUCCUUCUUGAACUUUCUCUUUAAAGUGCGCGAGUCAGGAGCGUUGGGGGUGGAUCAUGGGCCGGCAGUGGUUCAUUGCAGUGCUGGAAUCGGACGCUCUGGAACGUUUUCAUUAGUGGAUACAUGUCUGGUCCUGAUGGACAAGAGGAAAGAGCCCUCUUCAGUGGACAUCAAAAGCAUCUUGUUGGACAUGAGGAGGUACCGCAUGGGCCUGAUCCAGACACAUGACCAGCUGCGUUUCUCCUACAUGGCUGUUUAUGAGGGAGCCAAGUGCAUCAUGGGAGACGCAUCUGUACAGAACCAGUGGCGGGAGUUAUCCAGGGAAGAUCAGGAGCCGACAUCCGAGUCUCCCCCUGCAACUCAGCCUCAGGCCAGGUGUCCAGCAGAGCGCUAUAACGGCAGCCAGCGAGGAGGUCAGCUAGAAGAGGAAGGAGACUACAGACAGGACAAGUUACCCGCGCAGUCUCCCUGCAAGGAGCAGGAGCUGGAUGGCAGCACAACACACAAACGACGCAGAGAAGACAGUAUCUCCAAGUCAGGCACAGCCAAAACCCCCCAAAGCAAGCCCAGGACAAAUGACUCAGAGAAGAAGAGGAAAAGUUUGGCUUGCAUUUGCUGCACAUGACAGGAGCUGGCCUGUCCAGUGGGGGCACUGUAUCUUUUCCCCCCUCUGAGACAGCAACAACAACCACGACGAGCACAUUUAAAGGACGAAGUUUACCCACAGCUUUUUCUUGUACAUGGAGGGCAAAAACCAGCGACUGCUAACCUCCACCUGUAGCUCCAGCUCCAGCUCCGGCAGCAACGCCACCGUCGGCAGGGACCUCCAUCUCUCCCCCAACUCCUGCUUUACUCUUCCUCGACUCCAAACAACUCUUCCUCAUCUCUUUAGAAGUUAAUUUGUUUUCACCGUAGCCGUCGAGCAUCAUUCAGCUGCACCGCACCUUGUCCUUCAAAUUCCUGUUAGCGCCAUCUCCCACAUCCUUCUCUGGUCCACGCUUCACAGCUUAGUCAUAUCUCAUUUUCUCAUCUAAACUGUUUACAUCCGACAUCCUGACAUUCUUUUAAGAGCACAUUUAAAGACACACCAGCGCUUUAAACCUCGGCCACACCUCAACAACAGCCUGUUGCCUGUUCUUUCUUGCAGCUUUAAUAUGUUUUGCAGUUUGGACAUCCUGUCACGCUUUUUUGCAAAUAUGAAUUUAAGACUGAAAAUCCGGGCUAUGCAUUGCCAAUUUGUAAUGGUCUUCAUAUGUUUAUUUUUAAAUACCAUUUUCAGAUGCACAAGUAAAAAUGUUCUAUUUUUUAUAAGAGAUUACUUGAAGUUUUCCACAUUGAUGACUGGAGGUUGUUUCUGCCUCCACCCACAAGAGAAAGCCAGUGGCAUGUAAAGUUUUCAUGAUGUACAUAGUGUUCUUUUUAAAAAGUGUAAAAAGACAUAUUUUUGCUUGUAAAAAAACAAAAACAUGACAAUGUUACACAUUUGAAUUUAGUAGAAUGUCUUUUGAAAUUAAUUGGUCUUAAGUUUUUUUCUCCUCUAGAGUGUAAACUAUAAAUAAAAGAUCCCAUCUCUUAUCUAGUUUA